CCCGCAGAAUCUGGAGAGCGGCGCACAGGAUGCGCCCACCGAAGGGGCUAACGGCGCAACGCCGGAAAAUCUCAGGUGCAGGGACAGAGGGGUGUGA
rnacentral:ncRNA from 1 species